AGACCCGAAACCCGGUGAUCUAGCCAUGGGCAGGUUGAAGGUUGGGUAACACUAACUGGAGGACCGAACCGACUAAUGUUGAAAAAUUAGCGGAUGACCUGUGGCUGGGGGUGAAAGGCCAAUCAAACCGGGAGAUAGCUGGUUCUCCCCGAAAGCUAUUUAGGUAGCGCCUCGUGAAUUCAUCUCCGGGGGUAGAGCACUGUUUCGGCUAGGGGGCCAUCCCGGCUUACCAACCCGAUGCAAACUGCGAAUACCGGAGAAUGUUAUCACGGGAGACACACGGCGGGUGCUAACGUCCGUCGUGAAGAGGGAAACAACCCAGACCGCCAGCUAAGGUCCCAAAGUCAUGGUUAAGUGGGAAACGAUGUGGGAAGGCCCAGACAGCCAGGAUGUUGGCUUAGAAGCAGCCAUCAUUUAAAGAAAGCGUAAUAGCUCACUGGUCGAGUCGGCCUGCGCGGAAGAUGUAACGGGGCUAAACCAUGCACCGAAGCUGCGGCAGCGACACUAUGUGUUGUUGGGUAGGGGAGCGUUCUGUAAGCCUGCGAAGGUGGCCUGUGAGGGUUGCUGGAGGUAUCAGAAGUGCGAAUGCUGACAUAAGUAACGAUAAAGCGGGUGAAAAGCCCGCUCGCCGGAAGACCAAGGGUUCCUGUCCAACGUUAAUCGGGGCAGGGUGAGUCGACCCCUAAGGCGAGGCCGAAAGGCGUAGUCGAUGGGAAACGGGUUAAUAUUCCCGUACUUGGUGUUACUGCGAAGGGGGGACGGAGAAGGCUAUGUUGGCCGGGCGACGGUUGUCCCGGUUUAAGCGUGUAGGUGUGUGUUCCAGGUAAAUCCGGUUCACUUUAACACUGAGGCGUGAUGACGAGGCACUACGGUGCUGAAGCAACAAAUGCCCUGCUUCCAGGAAAAGCCUCUAAGCAUCAGGUAACACGAAAUCGUACCCCAAACCGACACAGGUGGUCAGGUAGAGAAUACCAAGGCGCUUGAGAGAACUCGGGUGAAGGAACUAGGCAAAAUGGUGCCGUAACUUCGGGAGAAGGCACGCUGACAUGUAGGUGAAGUGAUUUACUCACGGAGCUGAAGUCAGUCGAAGAUACCAGCUGGCUGCAACUGUUUAUUAAAAACACAGCACUGUGCAAACACGAAAGUGGACGUAUACGGUGUGACGCCUGCCCGGUGCCGGAAGGUUAAUUGAUGGGGUCAGCGCAAGCGAAGCUCCUGAUCGAAGCCCCGGUAAACGGCGGCCGUAACUAUAACGGUCCUAAGGUAGCGAAAUUCCUUGUCGGGUAAGUUCCGACCUGCACGAAUGGCGUAAUGAUGGCCAGGCUGUCUCCACCCGAGACUCAGUGAAAUUGAACUCGCUGUGAAGAUGCAGUGUACCCGCGGCAAGACGGAAAGACCCCGUGAACCUUUACUAUAGCUUGACACUGAACAUUGAGCCUUGAUGUGUAGGAUAGGUGGGAGGCUUUGAAGCGUGGACGCCAGUCUGCGUGGAGCCGACCUUGAAAUACCACCCUUUAAUGUUUGAUGUUCUAACGUGGACCCGUGAUCCGGGUUGCGGACAGUGUCUGGUGGGUAGUUUGACUGGGGCGGUCUCCUCCUAAAGAGUAACGGAGGAGCACGAAGGUUGGCUAAUCCUGGUCGGACAUCAGGAGGUUAGUGCAAUGGCAUAAGCCAGCUUGACUGCGAGCGUGACGGCGCGAGCAGGUGCGAAAGCAGGUCAUAGUGAUCCGGUGGUUCUGAAUGGAAGGGCCAUCGCUCAACGGAUAAAAGGUACUCCGGGGAUAACAGGCUGAUACCGCCCAAGAGUUCAUAUCGACGGCGGUGUUUGGCACCUCGAUGUCGGCUCAUCACAUCCUGGGGCUGAAGUAGGUCCCAAGGGUAUGGCUGUUCGCCAUUUAAAGUGGUACGCGAGCUGGGUUUAGAACGUCGUGAGACAGUUCGGUCCCUAUCUGCCGUGGGCGCUGGAGAACUGAGGGGGGCUGCUCCUAGUACGAGAGGACCGGAGUGGACGCAUCACUGGUGUUCGGGUUGUCAUGCCAAUGGCACUGCCCGGUAGCUAAAUGCGGAAGAGAUAAGUGCUGAAAGCAUCUAAGCACGAAACUUGCCCCGAGAUGAGUUCUCCCUGAGACUUUAGGUCUCCUGAAGGAACGUUGAAGACGACGACGUUGAUAGGCCGGGUGUGUAAGCGCAGCGAUGCGUUGAGCUAACCGGUACUAAUGAACCGUGAGGCUUAACCUUACA
rnacentral:rRNA from 1 species